AUUGAACGCUGGCGGCAGGCCUAACACAUGCAAGUCGAACGGUAACAGGAAGCAGCUUGCUGCUUCGCUGACGAGUGGCGGACGGGUGAGUAAUGUCUGGGAAACUGCCUGAUGGAGGGGGAUAACUACUGGAAACGGUAGCUAAUACCGCAUAACGUCGCAAGACCAAAGAGGGGGACCUUAGGGCCUCUUGCCAUCGGAUGUGCCCAGAUGGGAUUAGCUAGUAGGUGGGGUAACGGCUCACCUAGGCGACGAUCCCUAGCUGGUCUGAGAGGAUGACCGCCCACCCUGGAACUGAGACACGUCCCAACCCCUUACGGGGGGCAGGAGUGGGGAAUUUGGCACAAUGGGGGCAAGCCGAUGGCAGCCAGGCCGGGGGUAUGAAGAAGGCCUUCGGUUUGUAAAGUACUUUCAGGGGGGAGGAAGGGAGUAAAGUUAAUACCUUUGCUCAUUGCCGUUACCCGCAGAAGAAGCACCGGCUAACUCCGU
rnacentral:rRNA from 1 species